AUUUGGAGCAUCAUUUGGAUGUGGUGGAGCGGGUUCCCUCCUAAAAUGUUUUAUGAAAAUGUUAGAAGAAAGUGUUUUACUCUUACCCUUACCCUUGCCUCUAGUGGGAGGGAUUUCCUCCUCAACGUUGUGACGUGCUUGGUCGGCUUCCUCCUCCGCCUCUAGUUGUCGAACUCUACGUGCAUAUUCUUCAUCCUCCGCUUCUUGAAGUUGUCUAGCAUAUGCUUCAUCGGCAGCCUCCCGGCGUGCG
rnacentral:lncRNA from 1 species